GACGAACGCUGGCGGCGUGCUUAACACAUGCAAGUCGAACGGAAAGGCCCUGCUUUUGUGGGGUGCUCGAGUGGCGAACGGGUGAGUAACACGUGAGUAACCUGCCCUUGACUUUGGGAUAACUUCAGGAAACUGGGGCUAAUACCGGAUAGGAGCUCCUGCUGCAUGGUGGGGGUUGGAAAGUUUCGGCGGUUGGGGAUGGACUCGCGGCUUAUCAGCUUGUUGGUGGGGUAGUGGCUUACCAAGGCUUUGACGGGUAGCCGGCCUGAGAGGGUGACCGGCCACAAUGGGACUGGGAUACGGCCCAGACUCCUACGGGAGGCAGCAGUGGGGAAUAUUGCACAAUGGGCGGAAGCCUGAUGCAGCAACGCCGCGGGCGGGAUGACGGCCUUCGGGUUGUAAACCGCGUUCGCCUGUGACGAAGCGUGAGUGACGGUAAUGGGUAAAGAAGCACCGGCUAACUACGUG
rnacentral:rRNA from 1 species